rnacentral:misc_RNA from 1 species
AAGUCGUAACAAGGUUUCCGUAGGUGAACCUGCGGAAGGAUCAUUAUCACGUUAUCCACGUAUCAACCAAUUGUGCACUGUUGUAUUUACCUUUAAGAGUUUAGCUGGAUAGAUUAAUUCAUUGUGUGAUUUUGAAUAUCUAUCUGUUUUGAGUUUUCUUUCGGGAUCAUUCAUAAUAUGGCUUUAUUCUUGAAGUGUAUUAAAUCACACUUUAACAUUUAUUAACCACUUGAACCUUUUAUAUAUUCUUUGUUUGAACUGAUUUGUUUCUUACUCGAUUGGUCUUAAUCGACAAAUUGA